UACGUAGGGUGCAAGCGUUAAUCGGAAUUACUGGGCGUAAAGCGUGCGCAGGCGGCCUUCCAAGUCAGGGGUGAAAGCCCAGAGCUCAACUCUGGAAUUGCCUUUGAGACUGUGAGGCUUGAGUACGGGAGAGGUGAGUGGAAUUCCCAGUGUAGAGGUGAAAUUCGUAGAUAUUGGGAAGAACACCGGUGGCGAAGGCGGCUCACUGGCCCGAAACUGACGCUCAUGCACGACAGCGUGGGGAUCAAACAGG
rnacentral:rRNA from 1 species